GACGAACGCUGGCGGCGUGCUUAACACAUGCAAGUCGAACGAAGUGGCGAACGGGUGAGUAACGCGUAAUCAACCUGCCCUUCAGAGGGGGACAACAGUUGGAAACGACUGCUAAUACCGCAUACUGAAGGUGGGGAUUGCGUCUGAUUAGCUAGUUGGAGGGGUAAAGGCCCAACAAGGCGAUGAUCAGUAGCCGGUGUGGGAGGAUGGACGGACACAAUGGGACUGAGACACAGCCCAGACGCCUACGGGAGGGAGCAGUGGGGAAUAUUCCGCAAUGGACGAAAGUCGGACGGAGCAACGCCGCGUGAGUGAUGACGGCCUUCGGGUGGUGAAGCUCUGUUAAUCGGGACGCGGUACCGGAAUAGAAAGCCACGGCUAACUACGUGCCAGCAGCCGCGGUAAUAC
rnacentral:rRNA from 1 species